rnacentral:lncRNA from 1 species
UCUUUCCAGUCCCCUACAAGCUGCAGUCUGGGAUACUGCAAUGAGUGAAGGAUGGGAUUUGUCCUCACCAAGUGUGGUCCAUGCAGGCAACAGAGAGCCUUCUGGUGCCUGGUGAGCUUUGCUGGCUGGAGAAAGUCUACAGCAUCCUGCAAGCAACCUGUUUGGAACCUCCCCAACAAUAUGGUUCACACCGUCCACAUGAGGAGUAAUAUCAGUAUUUCCAUCCUGAAGACAGGAAGCAGAGACUGAUCUCUAAAGAGCUGAGCCACUUUAAUAGGUUUGGAGCAUACAUCUCUCCUUAAAUUGUGAGGGAUUCAGCAGCAGACUAACUGAAACUAGGUGGGAUAGAGUGAGCAAUGUGUGUUGCCCUGUACUCACAGGAAGUCAAAUGCAAGGUCCUUAUUCAACAAAAUUUUAAAUUUUUAUGUUUUGCUCUUCUGAGGAUUUUUUUAAAAGGUAUUCAAAGGCUUACCUAAAUCAGGACUGCUGUCAUAAGCAUGCUACUGUUUUUCAUAUACCUUGUAACUUGCUUUUGGUCAAGAAAAACUGCCGAAUCUCAUUGUAAUUUGGCCAAUUAGGUGUCAUAUGUCGGUACAUACAAAUGCACCACCUGACGAGGUGGUGAGGAACUCAGAUGUACAUUCAGCCCAGCUUUGACUAAGUCGACACCCUUCUGUUACCCCUUCUUCUUUGGAGCAGAGGGGGACUUAGAGAGCAGCACUCAUCGUACCGAUCAUAUUCAUGUCACGGCACGUCAUCCCCUCCUGCCAGUCUGUGGGCAGCUCUCCUGUCACAGGGCUACAAAAGCCUCCAGACAAACAAAUAUGUCUCUUGUAGAUGCUGCACUGAAGACCACAGGUCCAAAGCUUACCCUUAGCAAUCCACACAUUUCAGAAAUAGUUAAGGGAGAGCAAAAGGUUUUGUCCAAGCAACCUAUACAGAUGCAAAUACUUUGUUGCAUGAUUAAUAAGGUAUCUUGUUUUACCGUUUAAAAUUCAUCCGAAGUGUUCUUUUUCACAGUCAGAAUCAUCCACGACAAAAGUAUUUUUGAACAUAGCUAUAAGGGCUACACUUAAGUUCAGAGUGUUGUGGCUUCUUUGUUUUGCUUUGUUUUCAAAAAAGAUCGAUGAACACAAUUUUCAUAAACGGAGAGUUAACAACCAUAACACACGUACAAAAACAAGAUAGCAGUCUCAUACUGGAAAUAUUUCUGCUUUCAUUUUUAUUU